AAGGUCACGGCGAGACGAGCCGUUUAUCAUUACGAUAGGUGUCAAGUGGAAGUGCAGUGAUGUAUGCAGCUGAGGCAUCCUAACAGACCGAGAGAUUUGAACCUUGUUCCUACACGACCUGAUCAAUUCAAUCAGGCAUUCGCCAUCUAUUUUCAUUGUUCAACUGUUUGACAACAUGAAAAAACCAAAAGCUCUGCCCUUCCCUCCCUUGGAUAGAUAGGGAAGGG
rnacentral:rRNA from 1 species